ACGUAGGGUGCGAGCGUUAAUCGGAAUUACUGGGCGUAAAGCGUGCGCAGGCGGUUAGCUAAGACAGGGGUGAAAUCCCCGGGCUUAACCCGGGAAUUGCGCCUGUGACUGGGGGGCUAGAGUACUGGAGAGGGGGGUGGAAUUCCACGUGUAGAGGUGAAAUGCGUAGAUAUGUGGAGGAACACCAGUGGCGAAGGCGACCCCCUGGGCCGAUAUUGACGCUGAGGCGCGAAAGCGUGGGGAGCAAACAG
rnacentral:rRNA from 1 species